UUCAAAUAAUAAAAAAGACGACAAAAUUAAUGGAUUUAAUUAAAAAUUGGGGUCAGUGUGAAAUUUAAAUAAGCUAGUUUAUCAAUCAAUUUUAAUAAAUUAAUUAAGUAAAUAAUUCAAUAGAAAAAUAAAAUGUUUCUCUCAACCCACAAGUCUUCCCCUUCCCCACAAAAAACACAAUCUCUCUCUCUCUCUCUCUCUCUUUUUCUAUGCAUGGUCUCUGCCAACCAUGAAUGGCGACAAUCUCGAUGUUGGUGACUGACACGCGCUGCACCAGAAGAAGCAUCGGCCACUGACCUAUCGACCCUCGCGAGAUCUCCCCCUCACGCGUUGCCUAGCAUCGUCAAUGAAGCCUUCGAGUUGCAGCGACUUCAUGCUUUCCAAAUGUUUCUGAGCAUUUUUUGACCACCUCAAGUCGAACCACGACCACUACUAUAUUACUUGUGACUUGGGCUUCAAAACCCACUGAAGGAUUAGACUCAAAGGUUAUCAGAGUGGGAUGUUGAAACUCACUGAAAUUCAUGGAGAUCCGAAAAUGCAUGGCUCUAAGCUGAAGCUUUGGUGAGGGUCUCAGCCAACAGUGACUUUUGGGUGUUCUGGAGUUUGUUUCGAGCUUCAAAAACCACCACAAAACUCGUAUCGAUCAUGUGAAUGUAUUUGUAAGGGAAAGGGAAAGCUGGACCAGCCGUGAGUUGAAGAGCUUUAGGGGUGGUGUGUACAUCAGCAGCUACUCGAUCGCUACAACCGAGGGAUUGACAUGGACUAGAGCCAAAUGUUAUUUUUCAACUUAGGUUGGCUUCAAUUGUAAUUAUUUUGAGGGUUGUAAUUUCCUUGUAAACAAUCCCGUGUACAAACUCUUACUUUUUAAUGAAAAAUAACUAUUUUACGAUCAAAAUAUUUUAAA